rnacentral:rRNA from 1 species
AUGGAGUUUUGCUCUUUGUCUCAGCUUCGCCAGGGUACCACCAUCUGGCGCAUUCGUGUUUAUGUCUCUAGGUUGUGGCAGUAUUGUGGUGGAACUGACCACGGCCCUAUCAAGCAUACAGAUAUGGUCCUUUUGGAUGCACAGGGCAAUCACAUGUACGCUGAGGUCCCAGAGAAGAAUGUUGAUAGCUUCAUCGAUCGUAUCGAAGAGGGGAAGAUAUAUGACAUCCGAAAGUUCCUGGUGUUCCCAAGAAAAUACGUUUUUAGACCGGUGGAGGGUCAUUCAAUGAUAAAGUUUACGAAGCGCACUGAGCUUGUGGAGAGGACUGGAAUGGAGGCGGAGUUCCCCUUCUGUACGUAUGCGCUUACUCCGAUAGCUCACCUCCCCAGGCCAGCAGACAUGCCUGAGCGCUUUAUAGAUGUCAUUGGAUUGGUUACUGGAAUUUCUGAAGUUGUUCAGUAUGUUAGUGCAAGCAGGACUGAGCCUUCUACUAAACGAGUUAUUCAUUUGAAAGAUCUCACGGGUCAUCAGAUCACUGUCAUACUGUGGGAGAAGCAGCCCUGA